CGGACUGCUUAUACUUAACUUACAUGGUUAGUGGUUUGGGUUUUGUUUUAGGAUUAGGACUAACUAGUGUUAAUUAGGUUUAGGUAUAUGGGUAAGGGUAAAAUUUGGGGUUAAGAAUAGUUCAGUUUAUAUCUUUAAGGGCUGGGACCAUUAAAGUAAAAGAAGGCAUAUGAAGAUGUGGUAUGAUUGCCAAUGAGACAACUGUCCACAAGAGACCAAAAUGACGCAGAAAUAAACUGUGAACAUACUUAUAAAGCACACACUGCCUCGUCGGCUACAUGUGUAUAAGACC
rnacentral:lncRNA from 1 species